ACUCAAAGGAAUUGACGGGGGCCCGCACAAGCGGUGGAGCAUGUGGCUCAAUUCGAUGCAACGCGAAGAACCUUACCUGGCCUUGACAUGCACUAGACAGACGCUGAAAGGCGUUCUCCCUUCGGGGCUGGUGCACAGGUGCUGCAUGGCUGUCGUCAGCUCGUGUCGUGAGAUGUUGCGUUAAGUCGCGCAACGAGCGCAACCCCUGUCCUUAGUUGCCAUCAUUAAGUUGGGCACUCUAAGGAGACAAACCCUCUCUGAGGGUGGGAAGGUGGGGAUGACGUCAAGUCAGGAUGGCCCUUACGGCCAGGGCUGCACACGUGCUACAAUGCCCGAUACAGAGGGACGCAACACCGCGAGGUGAAGCAAAUCCCAAAAAUCGGGCCCAGUUCAGAUUGUAGUCUGCAACUCGACUACAUGAAGUUGGAAUCGCUAGUAAUGGCGUAUCAGCUACGACGCCGUGAAUACGUUCCCGGGCCUUGUACACACCGCCCGU
rnacentral:rRNA from 1 species